ACGAACGCUGGCGGCGUGCCUAACACAUGCAAGUCGAGCGAUGAAGUUUCCUUCGGGGAACGGAUUAGCGGCGGACGGGUGAGUAACACGUGGGUAACCUGCCUUGUAGAGGGGGAUAGCCUUCCGAAAGGAAGAUUAAUACCGCAUAAGAUUGUAGUUUCGCAUGAAACAGCAAUUAAAGGAGCAAUCCGCUACAAGAUGGACCCGCGGCGCAUUAGCUAGUUGGUGAGGUAACGGCUCACCAAGGCGACGAUGCGUAGCCGACCUGAGAGGGUGAUCGGCCACAUUGGGACUGAGACACGGCCCAGACUCCUACGGGAGGCAGCAGUGGGGAAUAUUGCACAAUGGGGGAAACCCUGAUGCAGCAACGCCGCGUGAGUGAUGACGGUCUUCGGAUUGUAAAGCUCUGUCUUUG
rnacentral:rRNA from 1 species